rnacentral:lncRNA from 1 species
CCUGUAUCCAACAGUUCUAACUCUGGUUUUCUCCAUUUUCAGCUCUUUCUUUUCCUGGCCUUCUCAUUGCUGGUUCCUGCAAGCUCCCCCUCUAUUCUUCGCCCAAUAUAUUCUUUAGUCCAAAGUAAACUACUUCUUCCCAUUCCCCACACUCUCCAGUCCUCUCUCCUCCCUUAUUGCAGGCUCCAGUGUUCCUGCCUUCUCCUUGGUGCACUUGCCAUCUGCAUUAACC